rfam:Glossina fuscipes fuscipes unplaced genomic scaffold Scaffold38, whole genome shotgun sequence.
GCAGCGGAUUUCUUCAAAUCCACCAAAAAAUAGUAAUGAAUAUCG